AUUGAACGCUGGCGGCAGGCCUAACACAUGCAAGUCGAACGGUAACAGGAAUCAGCUUGCUGAUUCGCUGACGAGUGGCGGACGGGUGAGUAAUGUCUGGGAAACUGCCUGAUGGAGGGGGAUAACUACUGGAAACGGUAGCUAAUACCGCAUAACGUCGCAAGACCAAAGAGGGGGACCUUCGGGCCUCUUGCCAUCGGAUGUGCCCAGAUGGGAUUAGCUAGUAGGUGGGGUAACGGCUCACCUAGGCGACGAUCCCUAGCUGGUCGGAGAGGAUGACCAGCCACACUGGAACUGAGACACGGUCCAGACUCCUACGGGAGGCAGCAGUGGGGAAUAUUGCACAAUGGGCGCAAGCCUGAUGCAGCCAUGCCGCGUGUAUGAAGAAGGCCUUCGGGUUGUAAAGUACUUUCAGCGGGGAGGAAGGGAGUAAAGUUAAUACCUUUGCUCAUUGACGUUACCCGCAGAAGAAGCACCGGCUAACUCCGUGCCAGCAGCCGCCGUAA
rnacentral:rRNA from 1 species